rnacentral:rRNA from 1 species
UACGGAGGGAGCUAGCGUUGUUCGGAAUUACUGGGCGUAAAGCGCACGUAGGCGGCUUUGUAAGUUAGAGGUGAAAGCCCGGAGCUCAACUCCGGAAUUGCCUUUAAGACUGCAUCGCUUGAAUCCAGGAGAGGUGAGUGGAAUUCCGAGUGUAGAGGUGAAAUUCGUAGAUAUUCGGAAGAACACCAGUGGCGAAGGCGGCUCACUGGCCCGCAACUGACGCUGAGGCGCGAAAGCGUGGGGAGCAAACAGGAUUAGAUACCCGAGUAGU